AGUUUCAUCCCGGGUUCCUCCUCAUACUCCCUUUCCGCCACAGCCGCCAGACUUGAAGAGGUAGGGAGCCAAUCCCAGGGGGCUCUACAUAGAUUUGGAGGUAACGGCGCAGGAUCUUCCUGAUGGACCCGUGGAGCGGAAAGAUUCAGUGGUGGGAACCCCAAGACCUGCGGCUUUUUGGAGCACUUGCUCCCCUUCUUGUUCCUAAUUUACUGACGUCUUGGCAGGAUCUUGUUUCAUCAUCUGUGUUGAAUAACCAUGGGGAGGAAGCUGGACCUGUCUGGUUUGACUGAUGAUGAAACAGAGCAUGUUCUUCAGGUGGUUCAAAGAGACUUCAAUCUUCGCAAAAAAGAAGAAGAACGACUAAGUGAGCUGAAGCAGAAGCUGGAUGAGGAAGGCAGCAAGUGCAGCAUCCUCUCGAAGCACCAGCAGUUUGUGGAGCACUGCUGCAUGCGCUGCUGCUCGCCCUUCACCUUCCUUGUCAACACCAAGCGCCAGUGUGGAGAUUGCAAAUUCAAUGUCUGCAAGAGCUGCUGCUCCUACCAGAAGCACGAAAAGGCCUGGGUCUGCUGCGUCUGCCAGCAAGCAAGGCUUCUGAGGGCCCAGUCUCUGGAAUGGUUCUACAAUAAUGUGAAGAGCCGCUUCAAGCGCUUUGGCAGUGCCAAGGUUCUGAAGAACCUGUACAGGAAGCACCGGCUGGAGAGUGGUGUGUGCUUCGACAUUCUAGGAGGAAGCCUUUUUGAGUCAAACCUGGAGAAUGAAGGAAGCAUUUCUGGCAGUGAUUCAACAUUUUAUAGACAGUCAGAAGGUAAAGUUGCUUAAAAGUUUACAGCUACUGGGAAAUUGGAGUAAUAGAAACACCUACAGGUACAGGUACUGCCAGGGUCCCCCAGGUGCAUUGUUACCCCAGAUGCAACUAUCUACACUAUGUGUGAGUCUCCCUGGGUCACUUAUUAUUG
rnacentral:sRNA from 1 species